rnacentral:rRNA from 1 species
GUCGAGCGCCCCGCAAGGGGAGCGGCAGACGGGUGAGUAACGCGUGGGAAUCUACCCUUUUCUACGGAAUAACGCAGGGAAACUUGUGCUAAUACCGUAUGAGCCCUUCGGGGGAAAGAUUUAUCGGGAAAGGAUGAGCCCGCGUUGGAUUAGCUAGUUGGUGGGGUAAAGGCCUACCAAGGCGACGAUCCAUAGCUGGUCUGAGAGGAUGAUCAGCCACAUUGGGACUGAGACACGGCCCAAACUCCUACGGGAGGCAGCAGUGGGGAAUAUUGGACAAUGGGCGCAAGCCUGAUCCAGCCAUGCCGCGUGAGUGAUGAAGGCCCUAGGGUUGUAAAGCUCUUUCACCGGUGAAGAUAAUGACGGUAACCGGAGAAGAAGCCCCGGCUAACUUCGUGCC